UGGCUCAAUCGGUAGAGCGUCUGACUAUCAAUCGGGCGGUCGCUGGUUUGAGUCCGGU
rnacentral:tRNA from 1 species